GGGUGGUGGCUAGCCCUCGGCGGCCCUACCCUACGUAGGCCUAGCAAUUUUGCGCCAAAGAUUGCUAUGAAGAUGAUGCACAAAAUCGUACCUUACUAAUCUAGGCCUGUACUACUUCUUAGGCCUAGCAGCAGCAGUUCUGGGGUCUACUAUCUACACUACUAGGCCUAAAUCUUAUGCAUUCGCCGUAAAUGCUAAUCACAUGUUUCAGCUAGUAUUUGCUUUGGAACCUACCAAGCACCCUCUUUUACUCCUGGGUGGAGGCAAUGACUAACUAGUGUAGAAUAAUUGUUACACAGUAUUUUCGUACUGUAUAACAUUGUAAAUACUUUUUUGAAAUAGUCAUUUUCUUGAAUUUUCCUGAGCACCGACAUCUGAAACCUUGCAGUGAUGGGCUUGUUAGUCAUUUGCAAGAUGUAACCACGUAAACGGACAUGCAAAUAGAUUUCUCCAACCAUAGACACCAGAAAAAAUAUGUUGAAAUACAAACUACACUAGUGAAGUUAUUGAAUAGCUCUUACAAGUUACUGUAACUUCGAUUUUUUAAUUUUAUCUCAGAACCUACAUAGCAGCUUUGCAAACCAGGGAGGAGAUCUUGAGAACUCUUUGUGGUUCUCUCUUGCCAAAAAGACUGGGUAGCUGAAAAAAAUCUUGUCAAGUCUACAUUCGAAUACACUGCGAACAUAAUUGAAAUGGCUCUGUACAACAUGGCAAAAAGUAAUAUGAAAGAGUUUUUUACACUGCUGAAAUAAUGUGCGAUCCAGGAACAAUUGCUGGGAAAUUACCGAAACCAGACAAAAAUCAGUUCGUGUCCAGUUUACUCAGCCGAUUCAACAGAAAUUAAAUACUGUAUAGCCAUACAGUAACAUGACCAUGUUACACUUUUUUUUAUAAGAGCCAUUCAAAUUAUGCCCAGGCUCACUGUUAUUAUUUUUGCUGAUUCCAGCAUUGCUCUAUUUCCAUUUACAGAAAAUUGUUAUUGUACAGCAGUAUAUUACUGUGCUAUAAACGUUAUAAGAUCGUUAUCGUUGAAGUAUAAACAGGCCUUUAUCCUCAACCUGGGCUUCAAUAUUUGGAAAAGCUUUUGGUUUGUACCCGAUUGUACUUUAAACAUUUCUUAUGAGGUAGUUCUUGUUAUCUUGCAUAGUAAAAUACCUACUACAUGUCUUGUGACAUGUUUCCAAACUACAUCUUCCACGUUGUAUUAACAAAUUUUACCCACUUAUUAAAUGUUUCUAUAUCUUUUUUGGAAAGAGAACAAAAGAUAGUUUCUGGUGACUAAAUUGCAUUCUGAUGUGUUGAAUUUGUGUAGAAAAAAAUCAUGGAAAAUAAUUUUAUAUAACCAAUUAUGUUAUUUACUAAGAUAAUUCAUAUAUAAGGGUUUUUUGAAAUGAUAAUACUGUUAGUGCAAUAAACAAGCAAUUACCAUUAAUAAUUUUUUAAACAAGUUAAAUUGGAUAACAAUUAUAUUUAUUAUUACAUGUACUAAUCUUUACAUUUAAUGAUAAUAAAGCAUGCUUUAGCAUGAAUACUGCAAUCAUAAUCUAACUGUAAA